UAAAAAAAGGUAAGCUACUAAGAGCGAAUGGUGGAUGCCUUGACUGGUAAAGGCGAUGAAGGACGUACUAGACUGCGAUAAGCUACGGGGAGCUGUCAAGAAGCUUUGAUCCGUAGAUUUCCGAAUGGGGCAACCCAAUGUAUAGAGAUAUACAUUACCUAUAUAGGAGCGAACGAGGGGAAUUGAAACAUCUUAGUACCCUCAGGAAAAGAAAUCAAUAGAGAUUGCGUCAGUAGCGGCGAGCGAAAGCGCAAGAGGGCAAACCCAGUGCUUGCACUGGGGGUUGUAGGACUGCAAUGUGCAAGAGGUAAGUUUAGCAGAACAUUCUGGAAAGUAUAACCAUAGAGGGUGAUAGUCCCGUAUGCGAAAAACAAACCUUAGCUAGCAGUAUCCUGAGUAGGGCGGGACACGAGGAAUCCUGUCUGAAUCCGGGUCGACCACGAUCCAACCCUAAAUACUAAUACCAGAUCGAUAGUGCACAAGUACCGUGAGGGAAAGGUGAAAAGAACUGAGGUGAUCAGAGUGAAAUAGAACCUGAAACCAUUUGCUUACAAUCAUUCAGAGCCCUAUGUAGCAAUACAGGGUGAUGGACUGCCUUUUGCAUAAUGAGCCUGCGAGUUGUGGUGUCUGGCAAGGUUAAGCAAACGCGAAGCCGUAGCGAAAGCGAGUCUGAAUAGGGCGCUUAGUCAGAUGCUGCAGACCCGAAACGAAGUGAUCUAUCCAUGAGCAAGUUGAAGCUAGUGUAAGAACUAGUGGAGGACUGAACCCAUAGGCGUUGAAAAGCCCCGGGAUGACUUGUGGAUAGGGGUGAAAGGCCAAUCAAACUUCGUGAUAGCUGGUUCUCUCCGAAAUAUAUUUAGGUAUAGCGUUGUGUCGUAAUAUAAGGGGGUAGAGCACUGAAUGGGCUAGGGCAUACACCAAUGUACCAAACCCUAUCAAACUCCGAAUACCUUAUAUGUAAUCACAGCAGUCAGGCGGCGAGUGAUAAAAUCCGUCGUCAAGAGGGAAACAACCCAGACUACCAGCUAAGGUCCCUAAGUCUUACUUAAGUGGAAAACGAUGUGAAGUUACUUAAACAACCAGGAGGUUGGCUUAGAAGCAGCCAUCCUUUAAAGAAAGCGUAAUAGCUCACUGGUCUAGUGAUUUUGCGCGGAAAAUAUAACGGGGCUAAAGU
rnacentral:rRNA from 1 species